rnacentral:rRNA from 1 species
GUGACUGCGUACCUUUUGUAUAAUGGGUCAGCGACUUAUAUUCUGUAGCAAGGUUAACCGUAUAGGGGAGCCGUAGGGAAACCGAGUCUUAACCGGGCGUUAAGUUGCAGGGUAUAGACCCGAAACCCGGUGAUCUAGCCAUGGGCAGGUUGAAGGUUGGGUAACACUAACUGGAGGACCGAACCGACUAAUGUUGAAAAAUUAGCGGAUGACCUGUGGCUGGGGGUGAAAGGCCAAUCAAACCGGGAGAUAGCUGGUUCUCCCCGAAAGCUAUUUAGGUAGCGCCUCGUGAAUUCAUCUCCGGGGGUAGAGCACUGUUUCGGCUAGGGGGCCAUCCCGGCUUACCAACCCGAUGCAAACUGCGAAUACCGGAGAAUGUUAUCACGGGAGACACACGGCGGGUGCUAACGUCCGUCGUGAAGAGGGAAACAACCCAGACCGCCAGCUAAGGUCCCAAAGUCAUGGUUAAGUGGGAAACGAUGUGGGAAGGCCCAGACAGCCAGGAUGUUGGCUUAGAAGCAGCCAUCAUUUAAAGAAAGCGUAAUAGCUCACUGGUCGAGUCGGCCUGCGCGGAAGAUGUAACGGGGCUAAACCAUGCACCGAAGCUGCGGCAGCGACGCUGAUGCGUUGUUGGGUAGGGGAGCGUUCUGUAAGCCUGUGAAGGUGGCCUGUGAGGGUUGCUGGAGGUAUCAGAAGUGCGAAUGCUGACAUAAGUAACGAUAAAGCGGGUGAAAAGCCCGCUCGCCGGAAGACCAAGGGUUCCUGUCCAACGUUAAUCGGGGCAGGGUGAGUCGACCCCUAAGGCGAGGCCGAAAGGCGUAGUCGAUGGGAAACGGGUUAAUAUUCCCGUACUUGGUGUUACUGCGAAGGGGGGACGGAGAAGGCUAUGUUGGCCGGGCGACGGUUGUCCCGGUUUAAGCGUGUAGGUGUGUGUUCCAGGUAAAUCCGGUUCACUUUAACACUGAGGCGUGAUGACGAGGCACUACGGUGCUGAAGCAACAAAUGCCCUGCUUCCAGGAAAAGCCUCUAAGCAUCAGGUAACAUCAAAUCGUACCCCAAACCGACACAGGUGGUCAGGUAGAGAAUACCAAGGCGCUUGAGAGAACUCGGGUGAAGGAACUAGGCAAAAUGGUGCCGUAACUUCGGGAGAAGGCACGCUGACACGUAGGUGAAGUGAUUUACUCAUGGAGCUGAAGUCAGUCGAAGAUACCAGCUGGCUGCAACUGUUUAUUAAAAACACAGCACUGUGCAAACACGAAAGUGGACGUAUACGGUGUGACGCCUGCCCGGUGCCGGAAGGUUAAUUGAUGGGGUCAGCGCAAGCGAAGCUCCUGAUCGAAGCCCCGGUAAACGGCGGCCGUAACUAUAACGGUCCUAAGGUAGCGAAAUUCCUUGUCGGGUAAGUUCCGACCUGCACGAAUGGCGUAAUGAUGGCCAGGCUGUCUCCACCCGAGACUCAGUGAAAUUGAACUCGCUGUGAAGAUGCAGUGUACCCGCGGCAAGACGGAAAGACCCCGUGAACCUUUACUAUAGCUUGACACUGAACAUUGAGCCUUGAUGUGUAGGAUAGGUGGGAGGCUUUGAAGCGUGGACGCCAGUCUGCAUGGAGCCGGCCUUGAAAUACCACCCUUUAAUGUUUGAUGUUCUAACGUGGACCCGUGAUCCGGGUUGCGGACAGUGUCUGGUGGGUAGUUUGACUGGGGCGGUCUCCUCCUAAAGAGUAACGGAGGAGCACGAAGGUUGGCUAAUCCUGGUCGGACAUCAGGAGGUUAGUGCAAUGGCAUAAGCCAGCUUGACUGCGAGCGUGACGGCGCGAGCAGGUGCGAAAGCAGGUCAUAGUGAUCCGGUGGUUCUGAAUGGAAGGGCCAUCGCUCAACGGAUAAAAGGUACUCCGGGGAUAACAGGCUGAUACCGCCCAAGAGUUCAUAUCGACGGCGGUGUUUGGCACCUCGAUGUCGGCUCAUCACAUCCUGGGGCUGAAGUAGGUCCCAAGGGUAUGGCUGUUCGCCAUUUAAAGUGGUACGCGAGCUGGGUUUAGAACGUCGUGAGACAGUUCGGUCCCUAUCUGCCGUGGGCGCUGGAGAACUGAGGGGGGCUGCUCCUAGUACGAGAGGACCGGAGUGGACGCAUCACUGGUGUUCGGGUUGUCAUGCCAAUGGCACUGCCCGGUAGCUAAAUGCGGAAGAGAUAAGUGCUGAAAGCAUCUAAGCACGAAACUUGCCCCGAGAUGAGUUCUCCCUGAGACUUAGAGUCUCCUGAAGGAACGUUGAAGACGACGACGUUGAUAGGCCGGGUGUGUAAGCGCAGCGAUGCGUUGAGCUAACCGGUACUAAUGAACCGUGAGGCUUAACCUU